UACGAAGGGGGCUAGCGUUGUUCGGAAUUACUGGGCGUAAAGGGCGCGUAGGCGGCCCGAUCAGUCAGAUGUGAAAGCCCCGGGCUCAACCUGGGAACUGCAUUUGAUACUGUCGGGCUUGAGUUCCGGAGAGGAUGGUGGAAUUCCCAAUGUAGAGGUGAAAUUCGUAGAUAUUGGGAAGAACACCGGUGGCGAGGGCGGCCAUCUGGACGGACACUGACGCUGAGGCGCGAAAGCGUGGGGAGCAAACAGG
rnacentral:rRNA from 1 species